GUGGGGAAUCUUGCGCAAUGGGCGAAAGCCUGACGCAGCCAUGCCGCGUGAAUGAUGAAGGUCUUAGGAUUGUAAAAUUCUUUCACCGGGGACGAUAAUGACGGUACCCGGAGAAGAAGCUCCGGCUAACUUCGUGCCAGCAGCAGCGGUAAUACGAAGGGGGCUAGCGUUGCUCGGAAUUACUGGGCGUAAAGGGCGCGUAGGCGGACAGCUUAGUCAGAGGUGAAAGCCCAGGGCUCAACCUUGGAAUUGCCUUUGAGACUGGCUGUCUUGAGUUUGGGAGAGGUGAGUGGAACUCCGAGUGUAGAGGUGAAAUUCGUAGAUAUUCGGAAGAACACCAGUGGCGAAGGCGACUCACUGGCCCAAUACUGACGCUGAGGCACGAAAGCGUGGGGAUCGAACAGGAUUAGAAACCCGGGUAGUCC
rnacentral:rRNA from 1 species